rnacentral:rRNA from 1 species
AACGAACGCUGGCGGCAGGCCUAACACAUGCAAGUCGAACGGGAUCUUCGGAUCUAGUGGCGGACGGGUGAGUAACGCGUGGGAACGUACCCUUUGGUUCGGAAUAGCCCUGGGAAACUGGGAGUAAUACCGGAUACGGUCGAGAGACGAAAGAUUUAUCGCCGAAGGAUCGGCCCGCGUUGGAUUAGGUAGUUGGUGGGGUAAUGGCCUACCAAGCCGACGAUCCAUAGCUGGUUUGAGAGGAUGAUCAGCCACACUGGGACUGAGACACGGCCCAGACUCCUACGGGAGGCAGCAGUGGGGAAUCUUAGACAAUGGGGGAAACCCUGAUCUAGCCAUGCCGCGUGAGCGAUGAAGGCCUUAGGGUUGUAAAGCUCUUUCAGUGGGGAAGAUAAUGACGGUACCCACAGAAGAAGCCCCGGCUAACUCCGUGCCAGCCGCCGCCGUAAAAC